CAGCAGCAGCCGCGGUAAUACAGAGGGUGCGAGCGUUAAUCGGAUUUACUGGGCGUAAAGCGUGCGUAGGCGGCUUUUUAAGUCGGAUGUGAAAUCCCUGAGCUUAACUUAGGAAUUGCAUUCGAUACUGGGAAGCUAGAGUAUGGGAGAGGAUGGUAGAAUUCCAGGUGUAGCGGUGAAAUGCGUAGAGAUCUGGAGGAAUACCGAUGGCGAAGGCAGCCAUCUGGCCUAAUACUGACGCUGAGGUACGAAAGCAUGGGGAGCAAACAGGAUUAGAUACCCGCGUAGUCCCUGUCUCUUAUAA
rnacentral:rRNA from 1 species